CCGAGUAUGCCCUUCUGGGCGGACCUCCAACCCACUGUAUACUGCUUUUUGUUGCUUUGGCGGGCCCGCGCAAGCUACUGGCUUCGGCUGGUAAGUGCCCGCCAGAGGAAACUAAACCCUAAUAAUUUUUGUUUUGUCUGAAAAAACUAAAUAUUUA
rnacentral:misc_RNA from 1 species